CCGCUAAAGCACUAUUAGCCUACAUUUCAGAAUCGAUUUUUGGAAGGAACGGUGGUAUCACGUGAUUUGUGCCGGCCCCACAUGAUGCGGUGUGUUCGCCUACAGUUGGGCGUGAGAAAGAAUGGUCGCUCUCUUUAAUGGAGUCGAAGUAAAGACCUCAAGACAAGCAAAGAGUAACAGCGAAUUGCAACUGAUAGGCCAAUGGCGGGAGGGACUCGCGUCAGGCCGUCUGUGAUUCAGCUGGAGAAGUGCAUAGCUGAGAGCUUCGUAAUGAACCGUAUUUACCUGAUUUGCAGGUUACGCCGAAGCAGGUCAUAAUUGGCGUACGCGAGGGACCGACGUGGCAAAGGAGAAGAAAUCAGGCUCCCCGUCUCCCGUCAUGCACGGUGUGCUGUGAAUAUUUCCUGACGGCUGACACACCUUUUCAAGUUCAUGGUGGGGGCUGUCAUCAGUCCCUCUGUUUGAACCGACAGCAACGGUUAAAACAUUAUGGGGAGCCAGUGCUUCGUCACCAUGGGAGGGGGCCAAUGAGGUGAUGGGGCCAGAGAGUGGAGGACCCUGGGAGUUCCCCUAAAUCAGCUGCUCAGGAUCUGGAAACAACGUCCAAUUUGUCCACUUAAGCACACCGUGAUUUCAAUUAAACAGGGCGGCAGAAAGGCAGCAUCGCCUGAACGCUGCAGAGGGGGGUCCAACGGGGGGUGCGCAGGCGAAGGCACAGCCUGGAGGGCUGAUUAUUAUUCUACCGUAAUGAAGCUGAGGGCUGCGGGUUCAAAUCCAGCCUGGGGCAAAGCGGAGCGGCACAGCCCAGUGGUACCAGCCUAAAACCCUGUCAGUUUAAAUCCAGCUGUACGCUCCAGUUGCAUUAUACACGAUAAUUGAAAGCUGAGAGUCUCUCUCACCGUAAGUCACUUUUACAGGAUAAAGGCUUCGCUGGAGCAUGGAAGCGAUGUAACGUAAUGCCUGACACCCGCAGCUGUUUGCAGUCGUUUAAUUUGGGAGGAGGAGUCCUUCAGCUACUGAGCCGUCUGUAAGCCUGGUUAUCACUUAAAAGCCUUUGUCAUUCACUGCAGCAUGGAAAUGUUACUUAGCUGAAAAAACGGAAUUCUCACAUUUUCAGCAAAAUGACUACCGUGCCGGUUCAGGAAA